rnacentral:pre_miRNA from 1 species
UCUUAUGGAUGACCAAAGAAAGUGGUUUCUUGAGACUGAAUCUACUCCUCAUGAAGAUGCUGUGAA